rnacentral:lncRNA from 1 species
AUUUUUAAAAAAAACACCACCAGAUAUCCAUUACAGCAUUGAUGUGAGUGUAGAUGAAGUAAAAACUUUGGCUUCCCUGAUAACAUACAAGUGUGCAGUGGUUGGAUAAUGAAUUGGAAAAGAUCACAAGGAGGUUCACCAUGGAGCUAGCAAAGAAGGGCUUUAUUGUGUGGCCACAUAGAUUUUGGUAUAAAGUGGGAACAUCUAAAAAAAUCUUUUUUUUUUUUUGAGACAGAGUCUCGCUCUGUCGCCAAGAUUGGAGUGUAGUGGUGCGAUCUCCUCCACCUCCCGGGUUCAAGCAAUUCUCUUGUCUAAGCCUCCCGAGUAGCUGAGACUAUAGGCAUGUGCCACCAUGCCCAGCUAAUUUUCGUAUUUUUAUAGAGAUGGGGUUUUGCCAUGUUGAUCAGGCUGGUCUUGAACUCUUGACCUCAGGUGAUCCACCCAUCUCAGAAUCCCAAAGUGCUGGGAUUACAGGCGUGAGCCACUAUGCCCGGCCUCCUACUAUUUGUAAUAGGAGAUAGGGUCAGAUAAGGGAAUAAAAGCAGGCUGCCCCAGCCAGGGGCAGCAACCAGCUCAGGUCCCCUUCCACACUGUGGAGGCUUUGUUCUUUCGCGCUUUGCAAUAAAUCUUGCUGCUGCUCACUCUUUGGGUCCGCACUGCCUUUAUG